rnacentral:rRNA from 1 species
GAUAAACGCUGGCGGCGUGCAUAACACAUGCAAGUCGAACGAUGAAGAUUAAAAGAUUUCUUCGGAAUGAACUUAAUUGGAUUAGUGGCGGACGGGUGAGUAACGCGUGAGUAACCUGCCUUGUACAAGGGGAUAGCCGUUGGAAACGACGAAUAAUACCCUAUGACAUCAAAUAAUCGCAUGAUAAUCUGAUCAAAGAUUUAUCGGUAUAAGAUGGACUCGCGUCUGAUUAGCUAGUUGGUAGAGUAAAAGCCUACCAAGGCAACGAUCAGUAGCCGGCUUGAGAGAGUGUACGGCCACAUUGGGACUGAGACACGGCCCAGACUCCUACGGGAGGCAGCAGUGGGGAAUUUUGCACAAUGGGGGAAACCCUGAUGCAGCGACGCCGCGUGAUGUAGAAGGCCUUCGGGUUGUAAAAAUCUUUUGUAUGGGAAGAAAAUGACAGUACCAUACGAAUAAGGACCGGCUAAUUACGU